CCUACGGGGGGCAGCAGUGAGGAAUAUUGGUCAAUGGACGAGAGUCUGAACCAGCCAAGUAGCGUGAAGGAUGACUGCCCUAUGGGUUGUAAACUUCUUUUAUAUGGGAAUAAAAUGUUCCACGUGUGGGAUUUUGUAUGUACCAUAUGAAUAAGGAUCGGCUAACUCCGUGCCAGCAGCCGCGGUAAUACGGAGGAUCCGAGCGUUAUCCGGAUUUAUUGGGUUUAAAGGGAGCGUAGGUGGAUUGUUAAGUCAGUUGUGAAAGUUUGCGGCGCAACCGUAAAAUUGCAGUUGAAACUGGCAGUCUUGAGUACAGUAGAGGUGGGCGGAAUUCGUGGUGUAGCGGUGAAAUGCUUAGUUAUCACGAAGAACUCCGAUUGGGAAGGCAGUUCACUGGACUGCAACUGACACGGAGGCUCGAAAGUGUGGGUAUCAAACAGGAUUAGAUACCCGUGUAGUC
rnacentral:rRNA from 1 species